rnacentral:rRNA from 1 species
CCGGGAUAACUCCGGGAAACCGGAGCUAAUACCGGAUAACACCAAAGACCGCAUGGUCUUUGGUUGAAAGGCGGCUUCGGCUGUCACUUGCGGAUGGGCCCGCGGCGCAUUAGCUAGUUGGUGAGGUAACGGCUCACCAAGGCGACGAUGCGUAGCCGGCCUGAGAGGGUGACCGGCCACACUGGGACUGAGACACGGCCCAGACUCCUACGGGAGGCAGCAGUAGGGAAUCUUCCGCAAUGGACGAAAGUCUGACGGAGCGACGCCGCGUGAGCGAAGAAGGCCUUCGGGUCGUAAAGCUCUGUUGUGAGGGACGAAGGAGCGCCGUUUGAAUAAGGCGGCGCGGUGACGGUACCUCACGAGAAAGCCCCGGCUAACUACGUGCCAGCAGCCGCGGUAAUACGUAGGGGGCGAGCGUUGUCCGGAAUUAUUGGGCGUAAAGCGCGCGCAGGCGGGUCCUUUAAGUCUGAUGUGAAAGCCCACGGCUCAACCGUGGAGGGUCAUUGGAAACUGGGGGACUUGAGUGCAGGAGAGGAGAGCGGAAUUCCACGUGUAGCGGUGAAAUGCGUAGAGAUGUGGAGGAACACCAGUGGCGAAGGCGGCUCUCUGGCCUGUAACUGACGCUGAGGCGCGAAAGCGUGGGGAGCAAACAGGGAUUAGAUACCCUGGUAGUCCACGCCGUAAACGAUGAGUGCUAAGUGUUAGAGGGGUCACMCCCUUUAGUGCUGUAGNCUAACGCGAUAAGCACUCCCGCCUGGGGAGUACGGCCGCAAGGCUGAAACUCAAAAGGAAAUUGACGGGGGCCCGCACAAGCGGUGGAGCAUGUGGUUUAAAUUCGAAGCAACGCGAAGAACCUUACCAGGUCUUGACAUCCCCUGACAACCCAAGAGAUUGGGCGUUCCCCCUUCGGGGGGACAGGGUGACAGGUGGUGCAUGGUUGUCGUCAGCUCGUGUCGUGAGAUGUUGGGUUAAGUCCCGCAACGAGCGCAACCCUUGCCUCUAGUUGCCAGCAUUCAGUUGGGCACUCUAGAGGGACUGCCGGCUAAAAGUCGGAGGAAGGUGGGGAUGACGUCAAAUCAUCAUGCCCCUUAUGACCUGGGCUACACACGUGCUACAAUGGGCGGUACAAAGGGCUGCGAACCCGCGAGGGGGAGCGAAUCCCAAAAAGCCGCUCUCAGUUCGGAUUGCAGGCUGCAACUCGCCUGCAUGAAGCCGGAAUCGCUAGUAAUCGCGGAUCAGCAUGCCGCGGUGAAUACGUUCCCGGGCCUUGUACACACC